GCUCGCUUAGCUCAGUUGGUUAGAGCGUCGUGCUAAUAACGCGAAUGUCACAGGUUCGACCCCUGUAGUGAGCA
rnacentral:tRNA from 2 species